GAUGAACGCUAGCGGCAGGCCUAAUACAUGCAAGUCGGACGGGAUUCAGGAGCUUGCUUCUGAUGAGAGUGGCGCACGGGUGCGUAACACGUAUGUAACCUACCUUUAUCAGGGGGAUAGCCUCUCGAAAGAGAGAUUAAGCCCGCAUAAAAUCACAGCACAGCAUUGUGUAAUGAUCAAAUAUUUAUAGGAUAAAGAUGGGCAUGCGGAACAUUAGCUAGAUGGCGGGGUAACGGCCCACCAUGGCGACGAUGUUUAGGGGAUCUGAGAGGAUGGCCCCCCACACUGGUACUGGGACACGGACCAGACUCCUACGGGAGGCAGCAGUAAGGAAUAUUGGUCAAUGGGCGGAAGCCUGAACCAGCCAUGCCGCGUGCAGGAAGACGGCCCUACGGGUUGUAAACUGCUUUUAUACGGGAAUAAACCCAGAUACGUGUAUCUGGCUGAAUGUACUGUAAGAAUAAGGAUCGGCUAACUCCGUG
rnacentral:rRNA from 1 species